rnacentral:rRNA from 1 species
CAAUAGCGUAUAUUAAAGUUGUUGCAGUUAAAAAGCUCGUAGUUGGAUUUGUGGCGUACGGUGUGUUCCGGGCACUUGUUGUCUGAGUAACCUGCUGUUGCCAUCCUUGGGUGGAACCUGUGUGGCAUUAGGUUGUCGUGCAGGGGAUGCCCAUCAUUUACUGUGAAAAAAUUAGAGUGUUCAAAGCAGGCUUAUGCCGUUGAAUAUAUUAGCAUGGAAUAAUGAGAUAGGACUUUUUUGCUAUUUUGUUGGUUUGCGCAAAGAGGUAAUGAUUAAUAGGGACAGUUGGGGGUAUUCGUAUUCCAUAGUCAGAGGUGAAAUUCUUGGAUUUUUGGAAGACGAACUACUGCGAAAGCAUCUACCAAGGAUGUUUUCAUUAA